UGGUUCAUGUGUUAUGUUUCUCAAUAGCGAAAAAUGUCUUGACAGAGCAUGAGAGCAUCUUAACCACCCCCCGCAAAAAUGCAUAACUCGCCAACUACAAAACAACAACUCAGUCCUCGGAGGGCAUAUUUAGUGGCGCAUGCAAUAAAUAUGUAGUGGCCCACCAUUUCAUAUGUUCCAUGAGCGCUCUUCCUCUGAAUAGCUGGUGGUUGCUGUGAUAGGAGCCAGUGAUGGCACGCGGGCUGAUGGACGGUGCCAGGGACUGAUGGUAAAGAGCCAACCUGUCUGCGUUUUAAAUGUCCAAAACUCUGAGUGAGCGUUUCCUGACCGGUCUGCUGAACAGACACGUGAACGUGGACCCGGUGCCGAGCUGCCCCUCUCAGGGAUGAGGACGUGGAUCUGCAGCGGGAUGAACAAGCGGAAAAACCUGAGUCAUCAUGUUGACUCUCCUCUGGUCUUCUCUCCACUCGUCAUGACAAACUGCCGAGUCUGAAGUCCAUCUCCAGGUUUGUACCUUUCCGUUACUCACGCUGUAGCGGGACCUUGCACCUGUAGAGGGCGCUGGCGUCCACUCUGCGUUGAACACUCGGGAGGGGGGAAACCCGUCUCCUGAUGACCGUGACCCCUGGAGCGUCUCGCCUCCUGCUCCGACACCUGCCGUGCCUCGUGCACGCCGUGGGGACAGGUGUGUUGUGUACUGUACGGUGUGUAAUCCUCGACAAUAAAAAACUGUUUAGCACCAAUUUUCCUUUUGCUUUUAAAACCUUCCUUUUUUUCCCCCGGUGGAGACAACUGUGGAGGCCACAUCUGGAGGACAGAUGUCUCACUGCUCGCUCUCUGCCUUCCACUCUCUCUUCCUCACACUCGCUGUUCCGCCGCUCUUUUUUCUCUGGAAACAUGAGAGCUGAAGCUCAUUCUCUCGCUCCCAUCCUGACCAGACCACCCACACUCGGAAACGCCUCGCCGUUCCCCAGGCAGAUCCUCCUGGCCUCUGUUGUGAGUCGAGUCGGUUAUGACGGAUGGUUCCAGUAUCAGUUACAUCAUUGUCAGAGCAGCGACUGGCUGCUGCAGGGGAGCGGAGGAGACCUGCUGCCUUGGAGAUCAGGUGGCCUUUCAAUCUCGACCUCUUGUUUCCUUCACCACAUCUGUCCAAGCACAUUCACAUCCUCCUCCAUCACCCCAACCCAGAAGCCUUCACCAGCUAAUUGGUUAAAGAGUGGUGGAGGCAGCAGCUCCAGUCUUCAGAGGGAUCCUGGUCCCGGCGCCGCCUCUCAGAAUCAAGGUAACAUCCCUAACCAUCUGCACGCAGAUCUACUCCGAGUCUCUGAUGCGUCGAGCUCGGCUGCUGUGUUUCAGCCAAUAAAGUGUUGCCCAGAAACCACUCCUGCCGUUUCCUAACAGGAUACGAAUGAAAAUGCCGUAAAGAUUUCAUUCAGAACACUAGUAAAUGAAUAAAAUAAGAAAUAAUAACGAUUAAAUCCGCUCCUUUAAUGCUUCCGUUUUCACGUCACGGUGGUAAAUGUCUCCCUCUCGUGGCAGAGUUUAGCAUUUCUUCCCGCAAAAUUUGCCGAAAUAUUUAAUGUAGCUGUUUUUUGUUCCGGGUGAAUAAGAAAAACAGCUACAUUUAAUAAUGAACUUUGAAAAAAUAA